GUCUCAGUUCGGAUUGGAGUCUGCAACUCGACUCCAUGAAGCUGGAUUCGCUAGUAAUCGCGCAUCAGCCAUGGCGCGGUGAAUACGUUCCCGGGCCUUGUACACACCGCCCGUCAAGCCAUGGAAGCCGGGAGUGCCUGAAGUGUGCAACCGCAAGGAGCGCCCUAAGGUAAAACUGGUGACUGGGGCUAAGUCGUAACAAGGUACC
rnacentral:rRNA from 1 species